rnacentral:rRNA from 1 species
CUACGGGCUGCUCCAGUGAGGAAUAUUGCACAAUGGGGGAACCCUGAUGCAGCAACGCCGCGUGGAGGAUGACGCAUUUCGGUGUGUAAACUCCUUUUAUAUGUCAAGAAAAUGACGGUAGCAUAUGAAUAAGCACCGGCUAACUCCGUGCCAGCAGCCGCGGUAAUACGGAGGGUGCAAGCGUUACUCGGAAUCACUGGGCGUAAAGGACGCGUAGGCGGGAUAUCAAGUCAGGUGUGAAAUCCUACAGCUUAACUGUAGAACUGCACUUGAAACUGGUAACCUAGAGUAUGGGAGGGGGAGAUGGAAUUAGUGGUGUAGGGGUAAAAUCCGUAGAUAUCACUAGGAAUACCUAAAGCGAAGGCGAUCUCCUGGAACAUAACUGACGCUAAGGCGUGAAAGCGUGGGGAGCAAACAGGAUUAGAUACCCGUGUAGUC